GUGAGGAAUAUUGGUCAAUGGGCGGGAGCCUGAACCAGCCAAGUCGCGUGAAGGAAGAAGGAUCUAUGGUUCGUAAACUUCUUUUGCAGGGGAAUAAAGUGCAGGACAUGUCCUGUUUUGUAUGUACCCUGAGAAUAAGGAUCGGCUAACUCCGUGCCAGCAGCCGCGGUAAUACGGAGGAUCCGAGCGUUAUCCGGAUUUAUUGGGUUUAAAGGGUGCGUAGGUGGUUUGAUAAGUCAGCGGUGAAAGUUUGCAGCUUAACUGUAAAAAUGCCGUUGAAACUGUCGGACUUGAGUGUAAAUGAGGUAGGCGGAAUGCGUGGUGUAGCGGUGAAAUGCAUAGAUAUCACGCAGAACUCCGAUUGCGAAGGCAGCUUACUAAGCUACAACUGACACUGAAGCACGAAAGCGUGGGGAUCAAACAGGAUUAGAAACCCUAGUAGUCC
rnacentral:rRNA from 1 species